GAGUUCAAUUUUUUUAAUAAUAAAAACAUCUUUAUUAAACACCUCUAUUUAACAUGUUUACGUAAAAUCUUGCAUUUUCUAAACCCAAAUAUUAGUGAACUACUAAUAAAAAUGAAAAAUUAACCUGUUUUCAUGGUCUACAUACAAUGAGAUGCAAAAUAAGCAUAAUAAACAUCUUACAGGAAUAUUUGAGAUCACAGAAAAUAUUAGGAGAUUGACACAUAGGUUAAAACAAUUAUUUGUAAAAAUGUCACCCUUUGGUUAUAAACAAGCAUAUUAUAUAACAGACUUUAUGUCUUAUAUUGUAUUUCCAAAAAUUACACAUAUUUUAGAUAUAACCCCAUCCUAACAUCAACUCAAAAAAUUUACCUUACUUUAGCUAAGGAGAAAUAAAAACGUAUAUGACAGUUUGACAUUAAAGCCAAUUUUUCAUACUACAGAGUAAAUCUGAAAGAAACACUUCAACUGAAGCAACUUUAAGGGUAAAGGUAAUAUUUUAAUAAAGUGAAAUCAGGAAGACUUGCUUAGAUUAGAAAAAGUCCCCUUAGUAACAAUCUUUGUUUAAAAAAACCAAAUAUAUAU
rnacentral:lncRNA from 1 species